rnacentral:tRNA from 1 species
GCGGAGGUAGCCAAGUUUGGCCAACGGCGCAAGGCUUAGGACCUUGUCCCGCAGGGGUUCCGAGGUUCAAAUCCUCGCCUCCGCA